UACGGAGGGUGCAAGCGUUAUCCGGAAUCAUUGGGUUUAAAGGGUCCGCAGGCGGAUUUCUAAGUCAGUGGUGAAAUCCCAUCGCUCAACGAUGGAACUGCCAUUGAUACUGUAAGUCUUGAAUUCGGUCGAAGUGGGCGGAAUGUGACAUGUAGCGGUGAAAUGCUUAGAUAUGUCACAGAACACCGAUAGCGAAGGCAGCUCACUAGGCCUGGAUUGACGCUCAGGGACGAAAGCGUGGGGAGCAAACAGG
rnacentral:rRNA from 1 species